rnacentral:lncRNA from 1 species
UAUAAAAAAAAAAGUAUAUAUAAUUUGUCAUUUUUUAAAAAACAAAUUUUAUCCGCAAAAUAAAAUAAAAUUUUUUAAACAAAGAUUUUAUUUUUGACAAUUGAAAUUUUGGCUGAAUACGGUGCACAUAACUGCAGUAACAAAUUACUUUGUUGCUUUUUGUGUGUGAUAGUACGUCAUGUGAAUCGGACUGUUCUGAACCAUUCUAUUCUAUAUUAAGUCAAUUUUUUAGAUAGUAUAGUUUAGCCAGUUCCAAACUUUCUUUCUUUCAAAAAAUUUUAUUAUUUUAUGGUAUGCCUAUUAACUAAUUCACUGUCUCUUUCAUUAUAUAAGCACGUAACACAAUUUAUCUAGCAUUUAUUGUGUACGUGAGUGAGUGUGUUAAAACUAAUCAUAGAUCAUAUUUUACUAGAUCAAAUUUUCAGUAAUACCCAACAGUAUUAAACAUAUAUAAUAGUAUCAGACAUACCUCAAUAGCAGGCAAAUAAGCUGUGUUUUAACAAAUUUUUUUACCAGUAAAAUAACUUUGUAUAUAUGUUUAAAUUAUCUUUUGCUUUGCAGUAGAGAAGCUGUUCGAGAAACCCAAACAUGCUUAAAAGCAAACUGCAUGCCGUGGGGAAGUGGAAAUAGCAUCCCCAUGGGAUCGUCCAAUUCCCAUAUCCUUUCCUUUCCCUGACCAAAUUUACAUGCCCAGGUUUUUUUCUCCAAAAACUGGAGAAUCUGAUUCCUUCUUGUUUUCUCCCUUCUCAUAUUCCUUUCCCCCACCUCUCAAAUUUCAAUCCCUUUACAUAUAUAUAUACACCUAAGAGGCACGGAAAAAUUAAAAAGGAAAGCAAAAGAGAAGCAUCUUUUUAUUUGCUAUCAUUCAAACAUUCGCGGCGAAAGCGCGAUGGGAUGUCGAGCUUAUUGUAGUCUAGUUCUGCUUGGUCUCGCGGUGGGGGUUCUGCUGUCGACGGCGCAGGCGCAGGCGCAGGCGCAGGCGCAGGCGCAGGCGAUGGGGAUAAACUGGGGGACGCGGGCGACGCACCCAUUGCCGCCAGAUAUCACGGUGCGGCUGCUGCAAGACAACGGGUUCGCGAAGGUGAAGCUGUUCGAGGCCGACGACCUGGCGCUGCGCGCGCUCGGCAGGUCUGGAAUUCAAGUCAUGCUCGGCAUCCCCAACGAGUACCUCGUGCCGCUUGCCAGUAGCGUCCGCGUCGCCGAGCAGUGGGUCAUGCAGAACGUCUCCUACUACAUCUCUAAGUUCGGCGUCGACAUCAGGUCAGUAGUAAAGUGCUACACUUCAUUCAACCAAAUAAGAUAUACAUAAUUAUAUAUUAGUUAUGUAAACUUAUCUAUUUUUGACAAAAUGCAAGUUAUGUCCAAUCAAGUCAUUCAAAUUUUCUUUUAAAGCGCGGGGCCUACGUAUAGAUGAAUAUAUAAUAAUGAAUAUAUAAUAAUAAAAUUCAAACUUUUGAUGUUACAUGAUUUUUCCAUCAAAUAAUAAGAUUUUAAAAUAAUGCAUACAUAAGGGCCCAUCUUAAGUCCCUUCAAUUUGUGGCCUUAACCUAUUUUAUUAUUUUGGAUAGUCGAAUUGUUUAUUAUUUUUUUAUACUUAAAAAAGUCCCUCUUUUUUUUUUCAAAAGUUAAAACAAAAAGUUUCCAUUUCCCAGAAAGUUGUUCCAGAUCACAAAGGGGAAAGCAUGCUAACCCACUGAAAAUAUGCAUGCAUGUGCGGUGCAUUACAAACAAACUUUUUUUUUUUUUCUUUUUUUUUAAUACCGACUGUUUCUAGAGCAAGUGAUAAAAGAUUUUAUGGUUGAUAUUCGAGGUCCUAAAUUCAAAUCCUUAUUGAUUCACAUUUCUAACUAAGUUUAUCUCUUUUGACAUUACAAUACAUGACUAAUUUUGUAUGGAAAUGUCAUUUACUUAGACAUUACGGCAUGUAACAUCUUUUGUGGUAGCUCGCAACCUAAAGAUUAAUAGAAAAAUUGAGAUGUUAUAAUUUAAGAAAACAGAGGCUCAGUUUUGUCUGUGUAUGUUAUGUAAGGUACGUAGCCGUGGGCAACGAGCCGUUUCUGAAGACGUACAAGAGUCUCUACCAGCAAACAACUUUUCCGGCCCUGCAGAACAUCCAGGCCGCGCUGAUUAAAGCAGGUCUAGGGCGGCAGGUGCACGCGACCGUCCCGCUGAACGCCGACGUCUAUGAGACGUCGACCGGGGUGCCCUCGGGGGGCGACUUCCGGGCCGACAUCCGCGACCUGAUGAUCAGCAUCGUCGGAUUCCUGCAGAACAACGGCGCCCCGGUCGCCAUCAACAUCUACCCGUUCCUGAGCCUCUACGCCGACCCGCACUUCCCCAUCGACUACGCCUUCUUCGGCGGGGGCGCGGCGCCGGUGGUCGACGGGAGUGUGACCUACACCAACGUGUUUGAGGCAAACUAUGACACGUUGAUAUGGGCUCUGGAGAAGAACGGGUUCGGGUCCAUGAACGUUAUUGUGGGGGAGAUUGGGUGGCCUACGGAUGGGGACCCGAAUGCCAAUUUGGAGUAUGCUGGCAGGUUCAACCAGGGCCUCAUCGACCGGAUCACACGAGGUGAGCAUUGGUGUUUUCGGCUCUCAAAAAAUUCAAAAUCAAACGCACAAGGCGCUCUUAUCGUCCAUCUUAGGCCGCUCAAUUGAGCUUUAACGGUCAAAUAUUUUGAUUCAACUUUCGAUCAUUGCGCAAGUUUCGAUUUUUUUUUUUCUAUUUAUCAAAUACUCUGCUGGAGAUAACGAAUUUAGUGGGGCGCUGAACAUUUACUGAGUGGUUUUUUGUCACUCCAGGCAUGGGCACGCCGAAGCGGCCGACGCCGCCGGAGAUCUACAUCUUCGCGCUGAUCGACGAGGACGCAAAGAGCAUCCAGCCGGGCAACUUUGAGCGGCACUGGGGCCUCUUGUACUACGACGGCACGGUCAAGUACCCGCUUACGUUGGAAAAUGGCCAGAACUUAACCGGCGCAGUGGGCGUAAAGUACUUGGACCGGCAGUGGUGCGUCCUGGCGCCGGAGGCCAGCAUUGCAGACCCUAACAUCCCAGGAGCCGUCGACUACGCAUGCCAGUACAGCGACUGCACCAGCCUCAGCUACGGCUCGUCGUGCAGCGGGCUCGACGCGCGGAGCAACGUAUCGUACGCGUUCAACCAGUUCUACCAGACAGCGAACCAGCAGAAGGGGGCCUGCAUGUUUUCGAACCUGUCAGUGAUCACGCAGACCGAUCCGUCGCAAGGGACCUGCAGGUUUGAGAUCAUGAUCGACACGGGGAGGCACGAGCUGACUUCGAACACCGACAGGGCCGUCGCGAGGGCGUCGGCCGUGGUUGGGAUUUGGAGUGUGCUAGCAGCAGUCGGUUUGGCGGCGAUAAACCUAUAAAACAGUGCAUCUGAACAUCUCAUGCAUCUCAUCUUCGGAAAAGAUAGAAGUUUAAGAUGGAAUGGAUGUUUAUACACCAGAUGCGCACAACAGUUUCCCAAAGAAAGUAGGGUGCAUUCUAAAAAACAAACUUUUACGCACGAAAAAGAUUGAACUUAGGAUUAAAAAUUAAGAUGAGAUGAAAAGAACGCGGCAGACAAAAUCUCAGUCCAUAGCAUCUCCUUGUAGGGCAAGAGGCCCCUUGUGGAAGGGAGCAGAGAUUGUUGAGAUAUGCUCUUAUCUCAGGAAACUAUUGCCCAGGAGAUGCCUGAAAUUAAUCCACUCUGAAAUUACUUGCAAUUUAGAUUUAAGAUAAGAGUGAUUCUUUUAAACUCUUACAUUCUGAUUCAUUAAGUAAUUAUGUAUUUGAUUAGAAUAAGCCAACUAACAGUUGGCAUUUUCUUCGGUUAGAGUUUCACAACACUCUUCCAGUACAUAGUAUUACACUGUAAAACAAAUUGAUUCAUGAUAUAUUUUGUGCAUAUUGCUUACUUUAUCCAGUUCUCUGUUUAAUUUAUCUUUAUCCACCACAACUUCUCUAUGCAAUGAAUUAGUUUUAGCAACUGGUCAAAUUACUCUCAAAAAAAAAAAAAAAAAAAAAAAAAAAAACACAGCAACAACUAUAAUAGAAACUCUAGAUGAGUCACCUUGUUAUUUUGAGUGUUACUGUUACCUCUCACUGGAUCAACAAAAUUUGCUCAAAUAACAUUUAUACAAAAUAGGCUAUAGGUUAUCACCACGCCAAAGUAUGCAAAGUUGCAAGGAAAAGGAAAAAAAUAAUGGAAUUAUGAUACUUAUGAUACAGCCGUAAUCGCAAGCAUAACACCCGCAAAAUAUGUACUAAGGAAACAAUAUAUAUAUAUAUAUAUAUAUAAUCACCCGAUUAAACGAGGAGAAGCUAACCGACAAAUACACAGCUUAGAACGUAUAGUCUGGCGUAUCGGUCUCAUCCGAUCGCCAGGGAGAGCCUUGCCCAUCUCCUCCGACCAUCCGCUUACUCAUGUUGGCCCUUUGCACCAGGCGAACUAAUGCUUGCACGACUUCCGACAUGGGCGGCCUAAAUUCUGGCUCGGGCUGCCGUAAUAAAUGUCGGGGUUAUGAAGUUGAAUUUACGUUUUUUUUCAUCUCUUUUGUACGAUGGUGAAUCUAGACUGAACUCUUAUUGUGUUUCCAAACUAUGAAACUGAAAGUAUUAUAAGUUCAGAUGUGCAACAUACCUGAACACACAGAGCAAUAACAUCUGCGAACCUAGAGAGAGAUUUCGCCGGGUAUAACCCCUGAAGGGCCGGAUCAACCAUCCGGUCUAAAGCAUCGAUGUCGUGCAGCUGGGGAGUAGCCCACCGAACCAACGACUGCUCAGAUCGCGGUCUAGAGCUGCCGCAGUUUGUCAGAACAGACAGCAUUUCAGUAGAUCGAAUUUUAGGUCGAGGAAAUUACAGAUCAAAUUUGAAUUAACUUUUAUAAUCUUAAUUUUCAUGAUCUAGAAGAGUGCUGAAAUGAAGAAUCACCCGUCGAAAGGCUUCCGCCCAGUCAAGAGCUCCAGCAUGACCACUCCGAAGCUGUAAAUGUCGCUCUUGAGACUAUACUGGCCGGACAUGGAAACCUCCGGAGCAGUGUAUCCGGAGUUCUCAUCUGAUGCCUAUAGAAGUCAUUUUUCAAGUAUGUUAGAUCUACCUUUUUCAAUUUUGGUAUGGAGUAAAAAUACAUUAGGUUGCAUCUUCAUACCUGGAAUUCUGGGUUUGGAACAAGGCUCGCAAGCCCAGAAUCUGAAACGUGAGGGUUGAGCUCCAUGUCCAAUAAAAUGUUUGAUGACUUGAAAUGUUUAUGGAUGAUAGACGGCGAGCAUACUUCAUGCAGAUACCUGGAAAUAAAAUUUGUACAGACAAAAUGAUCAAGGUAUUAUUCAACGUCAAUAGGCCCACAAAUUUGACUACAAAGAGAAUAGGCAUCAUCUUGUAUAGAUUAAACGAAAACUAUAGCGAAGGGGGAAAAAGAAAGAAGAAGAGAUAACAAGUUGCCCUCGAUUAUUGGAAACACCACUAUCCUUUAGCAGUUCAUAUAAAAGAAAUAUUGCAUUGCACUAUUUCUCAGUUAUCUACUACAAAACAAAAUUACCGAGUGGCUGCUCGGCACGGAUGAAGCAAAGCUGCGGCAAAAGACAGAAGCUUCAAAUGAUAUUUGGAGCUAAGAAGCUCAUUCAACUCUCUACCACAGUAAAAUAUAUAGAUUUCUUGUUUGCCAAGAGUCUAAUUACUGCUUUGAAAAGUAGAAUAACUACUCCAAAAGCUAGGCCAAACAUGCACAGAUCUCCAAAGAAUAAUUAAAAAUAAAAUAAAAAUGAUAUUCUGUCUAUUUGACUUACUCUAGCGCCCGUGCAGAGCCCAGUGCGAUCUUGACGCGCUGAUUCCAUGACAGUGGCUUGUUGUAGUCAUCGGGGAGGCGAAGGAAAUCAUGCAGUGAGCCGUUUCCGUGGAACUCAUAGACCAGCAAGUGCUGCCCGUGUUCAUUACAGUAGCCAACCAGCUCGGAUAGAUUCAGAUGAUGCAAGCAUGAGAUGUUUGAGACCAACUCAAUGAAGUCGCCAGAUGACAAAUUGGGAAGAGCAUUAAAGUUUAUUUUCUUCACAGCCAGAACCUAUAACAAAUAGACAAAUUUAGAGUUUGCUCUGUUCAAUGUUUGUCAAUGAAUGAAGAUUGGAUAGUGAAAAGAGCCACGCUUAAUUAAAAAUAUCAUGCAUUUAAACUAUCUAACUGAAAGAUAAAAAAUUUACUUCAACUGCGAAAUAUGAAUGAUAAUUUGCUUUUUUCAGACGUAGAAAUAUUGAAACAUUAUCCCUUUUCUUACAUUCAACAAAGUCGUGCUCUUUACGCACGGAGAAUGAACCUCCUGUAAUAUGCUAUUUACGACAAAGCGACCAAGAUCAAAGUAUCGUUGGUUCGACAAAGAAAAGAAUACUAAUUUUUAAGCACUAGAUACUAACUAAACUUCUUUAGAUACUGGAACAGCAGGGAGGAGAUUAAUUCCAAGACCAAUAGAGAAGCAAACCUUUUCAUCGUCAAAUUCAGCUCUAUAAACACGCCCAAAGGACCCUUCUCCAACAAGAUUGUCCACGCUGAAGCUGUUGGUUGCCAUUUGCAAAUCAGCUAUGGAAUACACCGUUGCUUUUAUGGGAGCCAAAUCAGUUUUCUUUGCAACAGGCUUGUUUGAGGUGUCAUUUUCAUCAAAUGACUUGUGGAUUUUAGGAGGAGGUUUAAGGCUGAUCGGAGCAGCUGGAGGCAAUGCUGAAUUGUCGAGUAUGGAAACGGUCUGCGUCAAUUUCAUCUCUGCAGCAUAACAGUAACACGAAAGUGAUAAAUAACGUAUAUUGAAUCUAUACAACUAAGAAUAGCAAGCAAAAUGUUAGAAAGGUGGGAAAAUGGUGCAUUAUUAGUGCAAAUGUGAAGAAAGAAAAUCACACGACUCUUCAGAAGUGGGAGUACGAGUUUCUGCAUCGGCGUAAAAUUACCUUUUUCUCCAUUUGAAGCAAAAGGCGCAAAAGGGGCAAAAGGCUGUUUCUGCUCGGGAUUCUGUUCCCCUUUCCAACUUUUCUUCUUAACCAAGAAGAACGCAACUAUUCCACCUACGGCCAAUACGGAUAUGAUAAUUCCAGCUAUGCCCCCACCACCUAUACCAGAACUUCCACCACCACCACUUCCCCCGCCGCUUGAUGGGUUGUUACCACUAUUGGAGUUCUGACCCGGGUUUACUUUUCGACCCGGCGGAGGAGGCGUAUAUGGUGGAGGUGGAGGCGCAGGGCCAGAGCUCCAGGAAUUACCACCGGUCCUAUGAAAGAGAAUUAUACAUAUGAGAUGUAAAUAACUAAUAGUAUGCAUGAUCUUAUCAAAAUGGGUAAAUUGCACCAUGGUCCACUGGUCACUAGUUAAACUUAUCAAAGUUCCAUUUAGGUCGCUAAACUCCAAUUUGUUGCUGUUGAGUCACUGAACUUUCAAUUUCUUGAAGAUGAUGAUGAAUCAGUUGCCACGUGAUUGUUAGGGAAAUUAAAUGAAACGUCAUAAUAUGUGGCCAAUUGUGUAGUGUGUUCUAAAAUCAAAGGACUACUCACUGAAGGUUAUUAAUCUUUUGAAGCCGAUCAGGAAUCCAGCCGGUAAAGCGGUUACUUUCAACAUUCCUGCAGGCACGAGGAGACAAAUCAUUUUUACAACACAAAUAGAGUUUCUUUUCCCUUUUGUUAAAAAAUAAAUAGAAACUUACAAAUCUUCAAGGGGAAGAGCAGCAAGGACAUCUAUGGUGCCAGUAAAUUGGUUGUUCUGCACAUAACUGAUGUAGAGAUAUCGAAGGAGUCAAUAUAUUUAUACAUAAACAUAAAUCACUCUUGUGCAUAAUAUCAAUUAUAGACAGCUUAGGGUCGUCCUUACAGAGUAUUCAAACUCGUCAAGGAGCUGAAGCUUUGAGGGAGGUCACCGGUGAGAGAAUUAAAGGAGAGGUCCCUGCAGCAUGAAUUCGUAAUUUUAAAAACAUUAAACAGAAAGGCCCGAUAUGAUGCAAGAGACUGAAAAUUAGCAUUUCGGUAUGUAGACAUUAAUUCUUCAGUGAAAGAAUAUCUCAAGUAAUUCAAUCACCUAGUUUACUAACAAGGAAAUUAUAACAAGGAAAUCGCCCGAGUUUCCAUUUAAGGUAACUAACCAUCCGUAUAGAUCACGAAAAAGCACAUGCUUUUGUAGUCGAACUAAUAAAUGAGAUCGAUCAGAAGAACACUCACAUAGUGGUCAAAUUGGUAAGUUUGUAGAAUAUAUCGGUGAGAUUUCCCUGGAGUUGAUUAUGACCAAGAAUUCUACAUUCAAAACACUCAAGUUAUGUAAUAAACUAUCGAAAGAAAGGGCAAGAGAUAGCAAAAUUGACUUCAUUAAGAAGUCCACUUACAGAUAUUUGAGAGUAACCAUAUAAGAAAUUGAGUAAGGUAGAUUUCCGUUAAAUUGGUUCCCAGCAAGAUUACUGCAGAUAAAAUUCAUCAUAUAAUAUUCACUAUCAAAAAUUUAAAAAAAGAAAAAGAAAAAAGAGUUGAAACCAGAAAAAUCGGCAUAACUUACAAUCUCUCGAGAUUAGGAGGAAGAUUAUAAGGUAUCUGUUGACCACCGCCAAGAUUGUUGUUGCUUAAAUCACUGCGUCAAAAUCAAGAGAUUAAAACCAAUUCUCCAUUAAGUCCCGAAAGUUUGACCCAGAUUCCAAUCAAGUUGUCACGUUUUCACAGUUCAAUCCCGAAAAAGGCACAGGGUCAACAUCCCGAAAGUUUUACGCAGAACAAACUGCAGGGACUGAGUUAUCGAAAUUGAAACUCUGAGAACGUAACUAAAGAAAGACGAGAUCAAACAUAACGGCAUAAAAUGAAACCGAUCAUAAAGCAAAAUUACAAAACAAGAAAGAUCAAACUCACAGCUCAGUGAGCGAAGCCAUGUUAUUCAAAUUGUAGCCUAAAUUCCCGGUAAGUCCCAUUCCAGAUAAUUUACUGGUAGAGUUAUAACAGCAAACAACAAGCAGAAAAAAAAAAAAAAAACAAUCAGAUGGAAUUGAUUCAACUGCAAAUAAGUUACACCGCAAAGCUAGGCUCACAUUGAUUUAACCGAAGAACCGGCGCAGGUAACGCCGAGCCAUGCCUGUCCGCAGGGAUCGCCGCUGUUUGCGGAGGACCAACCCGUAAGCUGUGAGGGUGAAUUGAAGCUUGUGUACAAUACAUUGAGAGCAGAAACUGCAUGCAAAGAAUAAAAAUGGAGAAAAACUCAUUACCAUUGAUUGGGUAGAGUAAAUGAUUGGGCAUCACUUUUUUCCAACUAAUAAAGAAUAUCUAAUGUUUUCAACACAAUUUUGGGUCCAUGAAGAUGGAUUUGUGUCUCUUUUCUUCUUCAUCUGUCAUAGAAAACUAAAAUCAUGAAGAGAAGUUCAUUCCAAUAUUAAGUCUCGAACAGUGUACUUCCUCUUUUUCCUUAAAAAGAUAUGAGCUUUUUCAAGUCCAACAAAAUUCACUUCUACAAUCCAAACAAUUAUUUGCCAAAAAUAGAAAAUGUUCAUUGGAAUACUUGUUAUGAAUUGAAUUAAAACAUCUAAAUUACGAGCGCAACCAAGAAAAAAAAUGAUUUUUAUGCCUAAAAACAAGACAACCCACUUGCUCACCUUCAAAUAGUGAGCUUCAAAACCCCAAAAAGAUAGAAUCAUAAAAAAAAAAAAGGAAAAAAAAAGGAGAAAAGCACAAAGAUACCAAUCAAACAACAACUUUUCUUCUUUGACAGGGGAAAAAAAAGAAAAAAAGAGAGUGAGGGAUUCAACAACGUCAAUACAGAACAUUCCUCUGAAUGCCCCAUGCCCACUCCCUAACUUUCCUACUACAAUCUAGUAAGAGGAAAAUUUAAAAAAAAAAAAGAAAAAGGCCCAAAAAUUAGAAAAAGCUCACGCACCAUCAUUUUGGUCAGUGUUUCCAAAAACAAAGCUUUGAUUCAACACCAAAAUGCAUGCCAAAAUUAGAGCUUUAAUCCCACCCAUCUCUCUCUCUCUCUUUCUCUUCUUUCUCUUUCUCUCUCCUCCUCUUCACCACCCUCUCAUCUUCCCAACCAACGGCCUUCGCCUCUUUCUCUCUCCCUCUCCCUCUCUGUCUGUCUCUCCUCUAAACUGAAUAAAAAAGAAGAAAAAGCUCUGUUUUUUCCUGCUCUCUAGCUUUUAUAUUUCCCCCUACUUUUUUUUUUUGCAUUUUUUUAAGUUGGAAUCUGCAUAAAAAAGCAAGCUGGCACAAGAACCGAGAUGAAUAAUCCAAAAGCGCGGUGGUAAAUUUAAAUUUUCGACGAAUUAUUCGGAUUUUUUUUCUUGUUUUUUCUCUCUUUUUUCGUUUUCGAGGACGAUUAAAAGAGAGCUUUUUUAUUUCACUGAGAGUGAGAGGUGACGUUAAUUGAAAAGGAAAUGGGCGGUAAUGUUACCGGAGGUGACGAGAACUCGUAGGACAGUUGUGGGGCCCACGUGGAACGUUGAACUAGAUUGGGCCAUGGGAUUGUGGGCCCACGGUAUCGGUGUUUUUUUUUUUUUUUUUUUUUUUUUUUCUUUUUUUUUUUUUAUAUAGUGCUCCUAUAAAAUAAAUAAAUAAAUAACCACAUUGUACCAUAGUUACACAGUAAAAUCCAUCACUUUGUGUCUAUUUUUUCUCUUAAAUUUUUUGGGUUAGGAAGCGUUUGGUUAGGUAUAAAAUAAAUCAAAAAAAUAUUUUCGAUAUAAAAAUAUUUUUUUAUUUAUUUUGUUCGACGUAAAAAUAUUUAUCUAUAAGAUUUUUUUUUAUGAAUUUGAAAAAAAAAUAAAAUUUUCUUUUUUUGCUAUUUUCCGGUAAAAAAUUAAAACUCAAACUGUGUAAAAAAAUUCUCAUUCAUAUUUUUAUCUAACCAAACAAUGUGAUUUUUUUUCCAUUCAAUCAAAGAAAUGUUGACGUAAAAUUAUUUUUUUUUCUUACAAACAAAAUACUAGAAAAUAUAACACUUUUUUCUACUGAAAAAUUAUUUUUCACGAUUUUAUUUUGAACAUGUUAAAUAUAAAAAUAUUUAAACACUGCUCUCUACGAAAUUAAGCUUUUAGAAUAUAAUAUGUGUUUUGUAUAAUUUAAUAUGAUAUCAGAGGAAAAAGUCCUAAAUUCGAGUUACGCCAGACUUCUAUCAUUUUAAUAUUCUCUUAUUUAAUUCAAAUUCACGUCAUAAGCAUUGUAAAAAGUCUCAAAUCUAAAUAUAAGAGGGAAUAUUAAAUAUAAAAUAGUUCAAUACCGUUCUUUAUGAACUUAAUUUUUUAAAGUACAAUAAUUAUUUCAUAUUAUUUUUCAGAACCAAACGUACCCUUAAUUGCUCUAUUUUUUUCUAAACCUUAUCUCUAUAUUUCGAAUCUCCUUUUUUUCCUACUAGAUCUUUAAUUUUUAUAGUUAAAUUUUGUUUGAUUUCGAUUAAAUAAUUUUAAUAAAAUAAAUCACAUCAAUUGUAAUACAAUAUUUUUUAUUCAGAUAGACCGUAAUGAUUAUUUCGGCAUCGAUCUUUUCAAGUGUUUAACAAUAUUUUCAAUUACCGAUUAUUCCUAACGCAAGUGGCAAAAAACUUAAUGAUUGGUAUCUGAGGUCCUAAGUUCGAAUUCUAAUUGAUUCAUAUUUCUAACUAAGUUUAUUUUUAAAUAAAAUAAAUAAAGCAGAUAAUAUACUGCCUAUCUCUCUCGAAAAAAAAAAAAAAAAAAAAAAGAAAAAAAAAAGACAAUGUAUCCAGUUUAAACAUAAAAAACACCAAAUUUUUCAAAAAAAAAAACAAAAAACAAAUAUUGCAAUUAACUUUUUUCUUUCACAAACAAAAUAACACCUCAGUUUGGUUGGUAGGGUGGGUGGGUCCCCUACUUGAUGGGAGGUAAAGAAAUUUUGUUUUUUUAUGGUUUAUUUUCUUUUGCUGAUUCCGAGAGCCCAAUAAAUUCGCUGAAUCCAUUACUAUUGUCGGAUGAGAAAGAAUCCAAAUAGUUAAUUAUUUUAAAAAUAUGUGCCGAUUAUAUUUAAGGACCAUAAUUUUCAUAAAUUUCGAUCUGACUCAAUUGAUCUGAAUAUUAGACAUAUAAUUUGAUCUACCACUCAACUUAUUAGACAUAUUUUAAUCUAAUAAUAAAUAGCUAACACCAAGCAACAAUAUUUAUAGCAAACUUCGGUUAUAUCUUUUAAAAACAAAUAUAGUUAAAAGAAUCAAAUACUUAUUCUUUAAAUUUAAAAUUUAAAAUUAUUAAUUAUUAAAUUUUUAGUUAAUUACGUUUCCGUACAGUACACGAUGUUAUUAUUAUUAUUAUGGGUACUGGUCGGUAAGGGGAAUAAAACUUUUUUAGAAAAAAAAAAAUACGUGCACGGUGGGAGCGACCGCACGGACGUAUCAAAACAUUCCGUCGAGUGUGAGAUCAACCGUUCAUUUUUUAUGCGGACACCUGUGUGGACAGAUGGACGGAGGGAUGUUUUUUGCUUUUUUAUUGUUCCUGUGCCGGACUUUACGGCCUAAUUUAGCUUUUUUUAAAAAGGGGUUAGCAGAGCCCCAAUCAAGCUACAAAAAUGAUUAGAGUGGUGGGUCAUCACAAUAAUUUGCUUUUCCUCUCUCUCUCUCUCUCUCUCUCUCUCUCUCUCUCUAUAACAAUUUACAAUUUUAGUUCUAGGGUUCCAAAUCUAUGCAAAUCGAUCACUAGAGCUCCAAUAGUAUACGAAUCGAUCAAAAUCAUGAGUUUACCGACUGUCCCUACUGUUUCAAUGAUACACAAAUCGACCGGACUCGUAAGUUUAUCGGCGAUUCCAAGAGUAAGAGGCACAACAAUUAAUGAUUGGUAUUGUAAGUUCGAAUUCUAAUUAUUUCAUAUUUUUAACUAAAUUUAUUUCUAAAAAAAUAAAUGAAGCCAGUAAAAUACUAUCUUUCUUUUUUAAAAAAAAAAGUUUAUGAGAUUGGCUAAGAACUUGAGAGUCGGUACCGAAUAUUCUAAAUUUAGCUGGAAAUGUAAAUCAAUUAGGAUUCGAACUUGAAAUUUUGGAUACUAAUCACUAAACCCUUUGUCACUUAUGUUAGUGACGAUCGGUUCGAAAUCUAGUUAUUUGUUUUGUAUUUUUAGGUCAAUUUAUUUUAAAAAAUAAACAAAACAGAUAAUGGUGUGUAAUAUUUCUCGCAUGAAAAAAAAGUCAUGAACUAAUGAGCUCAAGCCCUAUUUUUUUUGCCUACUCAAGAGUGAUCCAAUUCUCUCAACCUUAGAGCUCUCCUUAAUUUUGCAAUGCACAAGCAAAGAAUCUAGGCCUUGACAUUAAGGAUAGCUUCCUAAACAACAUUUGUUUGUAUAGCAUACAUGUUUUUUUUUUAUUUUUGCUAUUCUGCCAAUAACAAUAUUACUCGUUAUCGUUACAGUAUUAUAAAGAUUAAUUAUCGUAUUUUAUGAAUAAAAAUUUAUUAUCACCCUAUAUUUAACUCUCUCUUUUUCUUUCCUAUUGCUAUCCCAAUAAUUGGCAUAAAAUUACGAUUUAGUUAUCAUAAAAUUUUUAUCAAAUAAUUUAUUAGUGCGUCUUUUGCUGAGGUGGAUUCGCAAUAGGGGACUUUGAGGGAAAAAUUCUCUGUUGCAAUUCUUUUCACAUAAAAUAUAUAGUAAUACCCACACUCGGCCAUAUAUAUAUUUUCAUAUUAUUAAGCAAAAAGAAAAAAAACUAAUUUUCUGAAGAAAUUAUUAUCUUAUCUUAAGACAAAAUUAGUGCAUUAAUUAAAAUGUGCUCGGCCCCACAUGUCGGACUCAGUGGCGCGAGGUGCUUUCCUCUCCGUUCUACGAAAGAGUUAAGACGUGGCGGGCAUUCUCGCCGUCGGGUGGGCCCCGCAUUGCCGCGUGCCACGUCAUGAGACAGCUGGCGACGGAGGCUGUGCCACUUGGCACGAGUUACCAUCAGUCCGUACGGCCCGUCGGUAGGGAUGCAAUUGGAUGCGGGUUGGUGGAUUCCGUUUCGAUCCGUUUGCAAAUGUACCGGUAAGUAAGAAUAAGAAAUAUAAAAAUAUAUAAUUUAUUCUGAAUUCAUUUCCAUCAACAAAGUAAAAAGAGUGAGAGAUGGAUGAUUUUUUUUUUUUUUGAAAUUCAUUCUAAUUCAUUAAAAAUUUGUCAAAAUUUUGUUUUAGUUUCGAUCCGCUUCGAAUAGGACAGUAAGUAAAAGCUAAAAAUAAAAUAAAAAAUAAUCCGCUCUGAAUCCGUGCUGUCCCAACAAAAAAUAAAGGGAAAGAGGAGAAAAUUCUGACUUCGAAUCAGUUCUGUUUGUUUUCUUACUCGUCGGCAAGCCAAAAAAAAAUAUAUAUAUGUAUAAAUUAGGCAAAUCUCAACUAAUCAUAUUUUUUUAAAAAAAAGUUUUAUUUUAUUUCUAAAAAUUAGUUUAAUUAUAUUUUUUUUACUAAAAAAAAUUAUUUAGUUGAGAAAAUAUAAGUGAAGUGAUGCGUCUAGGUAAUCGAAGACUUCUUCGCCUGCGACGUGACCCCCAUCGUAUAACCAAACAAUUACCUACACCCUGUAUAUCCGUACUAGCUAUGCACCACAAUAAAUUUUUUUAUGAUCCGUACAAUAAAAAAAUCCAACCGAAGCUAUGUAUACUAUCUCAAGUACUUAUUAUUAUAUAUAUUAUAUAUGUAAAGUUUUAAAAUUUAAAAAAUUAUUACUAGAAUAUUAACUAAGUAUAAUAACGAUAUUAUAAAAAAAGAUCUAUUAUAUAUAAGCUUUUUGAAUAUCAUAAGCAAUAUUAAGGUAAAUAUCAUAUAUUUCAAAAUGUAUAUACACCGAAUGCAAACAAAUUAAUAAAUUACUUCUGAUCCGUAUAUCUAAGACUUUAAAAAGAACAGCCUACUACCUAAUAUAUGGACUAGUCAAUCACCUCCAUCCGAUAUACACACUUUGGCAUGUACAGAGCGAAAAAUUCUACACUAUCACACUUACAUCACGUCAUUAAUAACAAGCCAAUCAUAUUUCUUCUUUUCAAAUAAAAAUACAAUAAAAAUACCUUUUAUAAUUAUGAUAGAAAAUAUAUUCCUUAAAGGAGAUUUUUGAUUGAUUUAUUACGCCACAUCUCCAAUACAUCCAUUACAUUUUAAAAUUUUUCGUACUGAGCGCAUUGUUAAAAUUUGAACGGAGAUGAAGCAACCGGUCCGUAGACGAUGUGGUGAACCGUGUCCAGGCAAUCUCCUCUGAAACGGGGGUGGUGAUCAAUAAUGACCUUACCCGAGCACUCAAUCACUCGGGAGGAGUUAGGUAAAUUUUAGCUUCUUUUUUUUUUUUCUACUUUUGUUUCCUUUUCUUUUUGGAAGGAGAGGUGUUGGUUCCAUUACUAACUUAUUUUUAAGAAGUUUCAAACAAUUUUUCACAACUUACAGAUUUUAUUUCUAGACUAUUUCUCUCCAACCAUUUUUUUUUGUAAGUUCUGUAGUAUUGCAACUGAUCCUAACUUAUAGCAAGUUCGAUUUUCUUCAUUUGAUAUAAUAGUAAUUUUUUGUAUCCUACUUUUCUUAGUCAAACAUAUGAAAUAACAUAUAUGUUAGCUCUACCUAAAUUAAUCUUUUUAGGCAAUAGAGAGAGAGAGCUAGAAGGAAAAUUAAUCUAAAUAUACUAUUUAUUUAUUGAAAAAGGGGUUAAAAAAAACAGUGAGAGGUCCCAAAGCAUUCAAAGGAUUUCCCUUUUUAAAUUUGCAAUGCAACCCUACUAUUUGUUGAUUAGAUAUAAUAAUAAACAUGUAACACCUACGCUCUCUUUUUUCACAUUAUUGGAGUGCAUGAUGUGUGCUUUUGCUUCAUUAGUUUACGUCAAAACGACAUUGCUCGCGCAUUUAUUAACAAAACCCGACCUUCCGUCGCCAGCACGUCACAAGAUCCCAGAUGUGUAACAUGUGUUACACAAAUAUAAAGUAGAAAAUUAUAAUAAGUAAAAUAAAAGGCCUUGAGAAUAACACUUACUAUUAUACAAACAAUCAAAAUGGUACAAAUAGGUUACCGCACCUCCAAAAACUUAUAACAGAGAUUUAAAAAUCAAAAUCUGACUCUUGGAUAUACUUAAUGAUAUUUAAAAAAGCCUACUUAUGAUAAAAACAAAAAUAUUGAAUGACAAUACCUUGUAAAUUAAACAUCAAUCAUUUCUUUACGAUUAGUUUUUGGGAUAACUUGAUGCAGUGAUGGAUUUACAAAACUUAAAUUUUUUUAAUAUACAGGCUCUGUAGACAUGACAUAUUACAUCAAUUUGAUUAGAUUAUAAUUUUAAAAUAAUUAUCGUCUGAAAAUUAGAAGCAGUGUAUGAGGCGUAUGGAUAAACUGCAUACAUGUAACAAUUUCUGGAAACAAGAUUCUGAACAGUAAAUAAUUUCUCGUGAAAAAUAGUUGAAAACUACGUGACAUAAUGAAUGAGAUUAGGAGAAAAAUUAAUGGGUUUGAGGACACCCUCUCUAUAGUUUCACAUCUCAAUCAACUGAUCCAUCUCUGUGGACUCAGCACUAUGAUUAGAUUAAUGAAUGUGGGGUGCCAACAAGCAAGCGUGUACCUUCGUUAGAAGUUACAGCAACAAUUUGAAACCACCAGAACGAUUGGAUACAUGACGUAUAACCAACUUGACUAACUAGUUUAAGUUAGGUAUCUAACUAAUUGUUCACGUAUUCCUAACAAUGGCUAAUCAAUGAGUUUAAUCUACAAAUAGUGCAAAUAAAAAAAAAAUGAAAACAACAAUAACAUAUAUAACAAACAGGUAGGAAUGUUGUAUUAUUAUGAACAUAAACAAGAAUAAAAUGAAACGUAAGAGUGAUACCAAAUUUUGGUGGGUAAGAGAUUUCCUAAUAGAAAUAUAAGGUGGGUACUUCACAUUAUUUCAAUUUGUUGACGAACCUCGCACAAAAAGUUUGUUCAUUCAACGAAUCAGAUGUAUAGCCCUAAUCAGAGUGGACGUCGUUACCUAAAAGAUAGAUUUUAUAUGCAAUAAACAGGGAAUACUCUAAACUACCCAGGCCACUGACAUGUUGGAGAUCAACCCUAAGAAGGGAACUCUGAGAAUUUACAACUAAUUCUAAUACCAACUUAGAAAAUUGAUCUUAUAAAAAAUGAUCCAAAAUAUUUUUACCAGAUAUAUAGAACGAGGCCAAAAGAGAAACAUUCUACUCUUCAGCUGCAUAGACUAAAUGCCGUCGGCAAAAUUAAAAAAAAUAAUAAUAAAACCAUAAGCUUAAGAGUACAAAACGAUAAUGAUACAGGCAAUAAGAUCAUUUAUGGCAAAUUUUCUUGUUCCCCAGCCUACUGGUGGCUGAGAAGGUUGGUUUCACAACUACUUUUAAGAGAAUCUGCUCCCUUUUAUUGUAUAAUAAAAUAAAAUGUGACAAGCCACUAAGAAAAGGACACUGUUUCUACUGUUUGCUGUUCGUCCACAUAAAAGCAUCCUUUUUCACCAUUAUUCUGCUGGUGCGCCAAAUUACCUCUUAACAACUAUCAAAGAUAGAGUUAGGUAAACAAUCAAGCAAGGGGCUCUAGAAACUACUCCUUGAAUUUGAAGUAAUUGACUCAAACAUUCUGAACCCUUUUGAUCUAACAAAACUCGUUCCGUUUCUUUGGAAAGUUGCUCAAAUAAUUGACAACUAAAAGCUGCUUGAGAAUCAAUACUGUCACGAUUUGACUUGUUAGUAUUAAUUACUCAUUGAACCUAAACCACGGACGCCCACUAGCACUAAUAAUUUGUUGAACCCUAAACCACCGACCCAAAAUACUUAACUCAGUAAUUAUUAUUAGAGUAAGCCCAACUAUUAUUACUAGAACUCUGAUCCCUUAUAUUGUCAAUCAUAAUCCACUUUCCAUCACUAUUCCAUCUAACACUUCCGGAUGGCAAAUUUUGCUCUAAUACCAACUAUACUGAUCCGACCCGCUAGCACUAAUAACUUAGACCCUAAAUGAUCGGACACACAAUGUUUAAGCCUAGUUAUUGUUACUAGAAUCUUUGAUCCCUUAUACUCUUAUAUUUUUCAAUUAUAUUUUUUUUUCAUACGAUGCAAGAUUAUUGGGGCGUUACGAGUACAACCUUUGCAAUAAAAAGUUUUACGACCUACUACAAAGAAACUUCAUAAUACCAGCCUAUCAAAUAGAUUUGAAAAUGUCACAAGUGAAGCUCCAAUGUAGAACUAUGGUCAUGUAGAUAUGUCCAUAACAACAUAGCAGUAUUAUGAAGUCAAAAGAUGGGCAGAAAGAAUACUCACAUGUGUUAGUCAUUGGUAUUUGGUAGUAUAUACAAGCCGACCUUAGUUGAACAGAAACCUCAGAAAUGGUUCUCACACCUACUCAGGUAGGUUCAAUCCACUUCCCCAGCCUGAAAAUAGUAAUAAUGAAAUCAAACUUUAGGGAUAAGGAAUAAACCAUAAAUAAAUCCAAGCAACCUAUUCAUAAACAGAAGUCAUGCUUUCUGUAGGGAUCUGGCACCAACUGGAUAGGGAGAUCAAAUUAAAUUAACAAAACAAUGAGUGAAUUAGUGUAUUUGUCACCUGCUUCGCCAGAGCUACUAUGGCUAACAGCAGAAGCCUCGGAAGGUGGGCCAUCUGUUUCUUGAUUGUUUGUUGGAUCAGCAUGCAGGGUGGGCAUGGCACUCAAGGUAAUGGGUCUCAUUGCCAGGUUCGGAGGGAGAACCGGCUGUUGGUGAUGCUGCUGCUGCUGGAGCAGCAGCAGCUGCUGCAGCCGCAACUGCUGCUGUUCUUGUAUUUGUCGUAGAUUAAACUGGAAAGGAUCCACAGGAGGAAAAAUAGGUGCCUGUUGCAUGUAGUGCUGUACCUGAGGCAUUACCUCAUGUGGCAUCAUCUGUUAAUAAAAAGGAUAUGAUUACAUGAGCUGAUAUAGAAAAUAAGUUUAAUUAUUCGCCGUGAGAUCGUUCAUAUAGUAACCUGAGUAGUAACAGAAGGGGUUUGUGGUUGGGCAUCGGCGAUCUUAACCAAAAACAUCAGAUUCUUUUGAAGCUGGUCUUCGUACCUGACAUUAGUAAAGCCAUAAUAUUAUCACAUGCAGACAUUUACUUGCGUGUGCACGCGCGUGUGCAUCGCACUUGUGUGUUUUGGCCGGAAUGUAAGAAAUUAUGCAAUGAAUUUCAUGAUUUCUCUGUACCCUGAAUUUUGAGAACCUAUGUUUCACCCCAUCGACCGGCGAGCAAAUUGAUGAACUGUCUUAGUUUAAGGGGUAAUACAUGUUUUAAUACUACACGGGACAAAGUAGAAAACCACAAUAUUUGUAGGAUGUUUCCAGCAAUGUAGAGCUUUUUACUUUGAAGUCAUAAUUAUUAGUGCAUACAUUCAUUUAGGUCAUCAGAUCAAGAUGCACUCAUCUAAACCUCUACAAGAUGGUGAUUGGAGAUUCCAAACGAGUAUCACAUAAAUUGGCGGAAGUUCACAAAGCAUCAACAUUCUUAGUUGACAUAACAAAUCACUCCAAACUUUUCUUUGAGUAGACAGACUAAUGCAAUAUAUAUGAAAUUAAGAUCCACCAGACAACAACGAAAAUAGAAGUCCCUCGUUUAAUCAAAAGCAAGUGGUCUCAUCAGAAAUGAAAAUACAUCUGAAUAGAUGUGCGCACUGAAAAACACUUUCGCUAAUCACAUGUCCAAUUCUAAUCAUACAGAAAAGCUGGUAGAAACUCAAUGUUGAAAUCAAUUCUUCCUCAUAAUCCUUGCAUCACGAAUGACAAGUAUCAUUAAGCAGUCAAUUCACACACUACAUAAUUCAUAAUUGAUGAUCCAAUUGAGCACCAUUCUCUACCAUAUGAUAAAUAUAAGAUGCAACAGAGCAAAAGAAUAACCCCCAAAUAAAAAAGAACCGAAUUCUAGUAUAAUAGCUACUCACUGAGCAGAUUCAGACAACUUUCCCUGGUUCCGACAGUCCAAUAUCGCCCAAAUCAGCUGUUUGUUUUCCUCCAAAUACUGCAUGAUAAGAGGAAAGCAAUCACCACAAUUUUCUUUUUCCUUUUUUUUCCCUUGGCUAGAGUAAAGAAGCAAAAUAUGGAAACAAAUGCUACGAAUAAUCGACCCUGAUUAACUACAAGAGAAAGUACAUAUUCAAAGACAUUUUGUAGAUAAAAGAUCCUUGAAUUUCGCCAGAUACGAAAUUGUAGCUUAGCAUAAUAGGAACUAGAAUUCACACUAACUAAUCAAAUUUAAUAGUCUACGAAGGGUAAUUCAACCCCCAAUCUACAAAGGGUAAUUCAACCCCCAACCUAAUUCACGUGAAUUCAUUGAUUUGGAAAUCCAUUCCAAUUCUAUUUCAAUUUGGUACGAAACAGAGUGUAGUAACCUUAUAAUGCGUCCUAUACAUUCUAAUGCUUUCAUAUUAAAAUUAACACGCGCUUCAUAAUCAUAUAAUUUAUACAUUGUUUCUACUAAUCGGUAGUCAUAAACCCUAAUUAUUUCAAAAGAACACACAAUUGAGGUCGUAAAUCAUUACUAAAAGAUUACACACAGAUGAUGGUGAUGCUCAUGCUGGUCACAUCAAAACUAUAUCCGUGCCGACAACAAUUAAAUCCAUGUAAAACCGAGCUAAAACCUCUACAAUCCACUUCAGUGUAAACUAAAGCUACAAAACAAACAAAUUUGAUUAUAAAAAAAAAAAAAACACAAACCAAUCGAUCGAUUGCGCGAUUAUAUACCGAUUAGGUUUCGGGAAAAGUGAGUGCGAUUCACUGUGGAAAGAUCGAAUUCGAGAGGAACCCUAGGCGGGAAUUAAGGAGAUGAGGACGAGUUUGCAUUUUGAAUCACCUUUUGAAUCUGAUCGGUGGUGAUGUUCAUCGUCGGACGCUGCAUCUCUCUCUCUCUCUCUCUCUCUCUAUUUCUCUCUCUUUGUUGGAGUGAAAAAGUAGCAGGGCAAAAAUUAAGAACAAAAGGGAGGGAAACGGCGCGUUCAGAGGGCACAGAUUUUCGCCGUGGACCUGGUCUACCACGUCAACUAUCUACUUCAUCAGUGGCAUUUUUUUUUUUUUUGUCAAAGGAAAAAUAAUGAUAUUUUCCACUUUAUCUUUCUAUGCGAUCUAAUAACUAUAUAGUAUUUAUAUUUUUAAAUUUUCGUUUGAGGUGAGAGUCGAAUCCGGACCGCACUCGUAGUCCAUUUUAAGUGAGUAUCGAAUUCAUAGCAUCUACGCAGGUGUGGAGUAUACCUAUCAACUAUCCAUCACAUUUUCACUUUCUAGUGUUUUUUCUUUUUUGAGAGAUAGGUAGCACGCUACUCUUUUCGUUUAUUUCACUUAGAAAUAAACUUAGCUGAAAAUGUAAAUCAACUAGGAUUCGAACUUGGGUCUCGGGUACCAACCACCAAGCCCUUUGCCACUUGCUCUAGGGACGGUCUAUCAUUUUCUAGUGUUACACUAUCUAACUUAAUACAUUUAUAAUAUUUUUUACAAAAUAAUUUCAAUAAAAUUAUAAGAUUAUUAUAUAAUAAAAUUAAAAGUAUAUUAAAAUUCGGGUGGCUAUACAUAUUUUUUCCCUACGAGGCCCAAGUCCAACAAGAUAUAGAAAAAAUAAAAGCCCAAAUCGAUAACGAACACAUGGGGAGAGCUAUGGGAAAUGGAAAUGUUGGCUCGGCCUAAUAAUAUUGGCCCAUUUGUGUGGUAAGAACUGUGAUCUCAUUGGCUGGCUCGACCUGGUUCACUGGACCGAGCCAAUCAGAAUGUAACACGCAGUAGUAACGUACUCAUGCGAUGAUUUUUAUUAAUAUUUUCACUUUUUAAAAUUUUAUAUUUGGAAAAUUAAUUGCAAGCACCAUUGGAUUAUAUCCGUUAUUUUAUUUGAAAAUUUCAAAGUAUUAAUUGGAAUGAAUGAUGUGCAUUUUGGAAAAGGUAUAAGAAGUAAACACCAAAGCAUUUUGAUUGUGAAAAUAAAGAAAACCUUGCAACUAAAUAGAAUAUUUAAACAAUAAGGUGACGAAUGCUGAAAAUAGGUUGCAAAAUUACUGGAUAAAAUUUACACUGCACGGCCGCGUAGCCUAUUCGGGAAACUAUUUUAACCUAAAUUACCGAACCGAAUUGGCUCAUUUCAUUUGGAUUCAUUACGGUUCUAUAAACAAUUUGGUUCAGAUCGAAUUGCCUUUGAAAUUAAGAAGUUUUAAAAAAUUGUACAAACUGAAUUAACCAAAAUUUUUUUAAUAGUUUAUUAUAUAUCAGUCCUAAUAUUUUGAAAAAAAAAAAAUAUUAAUCACUUCAACACAAUCAAAUACUUAGAGACUUUAACUCUUAUUAUGUUCAAUUUAAAGAUUUUGGUAGAAAAUUAAUCCUACCUAUAAACCUAUAUCUUACUUUUAGUAAUUUAAUAAAUUUUAAUAUAGAUCGAUUAUAUUUAUAAUAAAAAAAAAUACUGUGAAAAUUAAAUCGACCGAACCGAACAGAACCCGGUGACCGCGUGCGCUGCGCGGCUACUGCCACGGCCUAACUAAUUCUCGACCCUAUUUAAACAAGAGAUUCACACAAACGACCCACCACGACCACUUAUAACUUAUAACCACCUCAAAACCCUCCCCUCCCCUCCUUUCCUCAGAAUAAGGAGAAGCAGUAAAAAAAAUUAAUUAAUUAAUUAAUUAUUUCCUAUUCUUUUCAUAUCUCUCUACAUUUUAUUCGGUUACAUUAUCAUUCCCACGCUCUCGAGGUAGAGGUAGAGAGGGAAGAGCACACACGCACGCGCCGCGCCCUCCCUCCGCCUCGACCGCCACGAUGUCGUCCGCCAUCGACGACGGCAUCGAGGUCAACCGGAAGCCGGGGAGGAAGAACCUCGUGAUCGCCGGCUCCUCGGCCGCAGUUCUCAUGCUCCUCGUCGUCGGCACCGUCGCCACCGUUCUGAACCAGUCCGCCGAAGAGUCCGGCGGCGUCUCCGCCCGGUCGAUGCACUCGACGUCCAAGUCCGUCCAGAUGAUCUGCGCCUCCACCGACUACCGCCAGACGUGCGAGUCCAGUCUGUCGAAGGCCGUCAACUCCAGCAGCGACAACGACCCGAAGGCGAUCCUCCACGCGGCCGUCUCCGUCGUCGUCGACGAGGUCGGGAAGGCCUUCGCCCACUCCCGCCUUCUCGACAGCAACAACAGCCGCGUCAAGUCGGCCGUCCAGGACUGCCUGACGCUCUUCGACGACUGCAAGUACGACCUGAAGCGGUCGCUGGAGAGCAUCAUCGCGCACGCCGCCACCGACCACCUGUCGAAGCGGUCGCACGACCUCGAGACGUGGCUCAGCGCCGUGAUCUCGUUCGAGGAGGCGUGCGUCGACGGGUUCCCGGAGGGGGAGCUGAAGGCGAAGAUGAAGGCGGCGAUGAAGAAGGCCAGGGAGCUGUCAAGCAACGCGGUCGCCAUCAUCGGGCAGGUGUCGAGCUUCCUGUCCAUGCUCGACAUCCCCGGGCUGAGCGGCCGCCGCCGCCGCCUUUUGACGGCGCAGAAGGAGCCCGCGCUUGCAGCGGCCGCAGCAGGUCUUAAGGAGGACGGGCUCCCGCAAUGGAUGUCGAGCACCGAACGGAGGGUUCUCAAAUCGCACCAUAAGCUCAAGGUCAAGCCGAAUGCCACGGUCGCGAAAGACGGCACCGGCGACUUCGCCACCAUUUCCGCGGCUUUGGACGCGAUGCCGAGCGAAUACAAAGGAAGGUCGGUACAUGCAUGCAAUAUUGUUAAUUAAGCUAGCUGAUUAAUUUAUAUAUGCACGAUUACAUGUUUGGGAUUAAUACAUGUAACAGGUACGUGAUCUACGUGAAAGAGGGGAUAUACGAGGAGACCGUCAAUGUGACGAAGAAGAUGGCUAAUGUGACCAUGUAUGGGGAUGGCUCGAAAAAGUCGAUCAUAACGGGAAGCAAGAACUUCGUGGACGGCACCAGAACCUGGCAAACCGCAACAUUCUGUGAGCGCAUAUAAUUGACUAAAACUGAAUUUUGUUCACUUUUCGCUUGAUUUAGUAUCUGAUCCUCGGUGCUUUAUGCACGCCGCAUGCAGCCGUCUCCGGCGACGGCUUCAUCGCGAUCCGGCUCGGGUUCCGCAACACGGCGGGCGCGGUCAAGCACCAGGCGGUGGCGCUACGCGUGAAGGCGGACCGCAGCAUCUUCCUCAACUGCCGGAUGGAGGGCUACCAGGACACGCUCUACGCGCAGGCCUACCGGCAGUUCUAUCGGGGCUGCGUCAUCUCGGGCACGGUCGACUUCAUCUUCGGUGACGCCUCGGCUGUGUUCCAGAACUGCAUCAUCGUCGUCCGCCGCCCCCUCGACAACCAGCAGAACAUCGUGACCGCCCACGGCCGCGUCGACCGGCAGCAGAAGACGGGCUUCGUCAUCCAGCGCUGCCGCAUACUCCCCGAGCAGGGCCUGACGGAGGCGGCGGCACACAAGGCCAACGUGCGCAGCUACCUCGGCCGGCCGUGGAAGGAGUUUGCGAGGACGGUCGUGAUGGAGUCGCACAUCGGCGGCUUCAUCCACCCGGACGGCUACAUGCCGUGGGAGGGCGAAUUCGCGCUGUCGACGUUGUAUUACGCCGAGUACAAUAACUUCGGCGGCGGAUCGAACGUGUCGACGCGCGUCCCGUGGCCGGGGUUCCACGUCAUAAGCCGGAGAGAGGCCGAGCGCUUCACCGUCGGCAACUUCCUCUAUGGCGCCGAUUGGAUUCCGGCCACCGGCGCGCCGUUUCGCCUCGGCAUGUACACGCGCGAAUGAGAGCACUUCAAUUUUUUUGUCUAGAGAGUAAAUUGACAAGGGAGGAAUAAAAGGGCGGGAGUUCUCGUUUAUAAAAUGGAUAUAUAUAUAUAUUUAUAUAUGUGCGUGUGUGUGUGUGUGUUAAAGGAGGGCGUAAUAGAUUUUUGUUUUGAUAGCAAUUAAGAAAAAAUGAAAAGAAAAAAAGAUUGUUUUCCUUUUCUUUUGCCUUAAAAUUCCUGAUUUAAUUUAUCAUACUCAAUGUUAAUUACACUCCUGAAAAGCUUUUAAAUCUCUUAGACCAUGAUUAUCAGUGACAAUUCUUAAAUCUCCUAGACCAAGCAAGCAGCUGAGUUUCAAUAGGGUUAUAAAACCUUGUCUCUUGUAUUUACUAAUAGAGGUCAAAUCAUUUAUUAUUUAUUAAUAAAGCUUCAUAAUUUGAUUUUACACAUUAUAAGAGUAAUUAAUGCUGUUAGUAUGGUAAAGUUAUAUUCAAACAUGUCAUCAGUUAGCUAUCAAAUUCGAAUACCUGAACCACUAAUUAUUAUCGGCUGGUAGGCUAGUAUUCUGUAUAUGUGACGGAAAUCGUAUUAGAUCAAAUCACAAUCAAGAUUCGAGUGCUUUGUACAUACCUAUGUGCUUUAAAUGAAUUGGUUGGUUCCUUCCUAAUAGCUCGGGCUUUUGAAACUAAUUUUCAAGAAUAACUCAACAAGUGGUAUCAAAGCGGGCCAUGGGUUUAAUUGUCAGGUGACGCAACUUGUGCAGGGUACUGAAAGGAUUGUUGGCAAGUAGACGAGCAGCCUAUUGAGAUCCGUCAGCACUGUAUCUAAAGACUUUAAAUGAAUUGGUUUCAUACUUUCUAAUAGCUUGUGUUUUUGAAAUUAUGGUUAAUUAGCCCCAAUAAUCGAACACUAAUAUUAUGUCAUAUUGUGAAAAACUAAACUCAUCUUAAUCAAUGAUUUUUGGGCACGUGCUCACGUAACCAUAGCUUUACUCCAUAUAAUAAAUUACUGAUUAAUAAGAGUUAAACUUUUUGUUUGUUUCAUGCCUCAUUAACACCCUACUUGUGCUCAUCAUGUUAACCAACCUCCUUGGUUCUUUUAAUGCAAAUAGUACUUGCACUAGCUUUUCUUGUUAUUAGAAACAUAGUACACACACUCCUCACACUCAAUUUGUUAAAAGUAUGAAAAAUCUUCUCCAAGAUAUCUCGAAGCUUCGAAUCUUCUUUUUUUUGCAUGAAACCAUUGAUUGCUUCAUCAACUUCCACACAUAGUUAACCUAUAAAACAAAUUAACUAUUAAGUUUAAGAAAAAAAAUUAUUCCAAAUAAAGAGUUUAAAGCAAAUGAAAUUUAAAAUGUUCUUUAAUUCAUCAAAUCCGAGCUCAUGAACAAAGGUUACUGGCUCACGAAAAACCAGUCAAAAGGAGGCUAUGUUAUUUGCGUGAUCUAGGUAAUUAUAUCAACACAUGGAAAGUUAUAUGAGUUGUUAAAAUGAUAAGUAAUUUUUGACUGUGAACAGUAGUUUCAUGUGUGAAUUAACAUUUAAUUAUGAAUCUAUACAGGUUUUAGCAUCACCAACAAGCUAAAUCAUGAGUUUUAAGCUUCAAAGGGUCAUCUUGUCGACUUGUUUUGUCGCUUACCUUAAUGAGACAAAUGGCGCCAUAAGACUAGCUAAGUGUGCGUUUGUCCUAAAUGUUGAAAUAGUUUUUCUAUACGCCACUCUCGUGUUUGGCAAACAAAAUUUCAGUAUUACUGGUACGAAGAUUCAUUUCAACAUUCCCACAAAACUGAUUUGUUUGCUACAAUUAGUAAAUUUUUAUUUAAAAGAGAGAAACUAUAUUUUUAUUGAACAACUCGAAUCAUAGAGGAAGUUUUUUUUUUUAGAGAGAGAUAGGUAGCAUGCUACUCGCUUCGUUUAUUUAUUUUAAAAUUAAACUUAGCUGGAAAUGUGAAUCAAUUAGGAUUCAAACUUGGAAUCUCGAAUACCAACAACCAAAUCCUUUGCCACUUUCACCGGGAGCAGUUGUUAUCAUACAAGAAGUAAUUAAUUGAAUAUUCUUAUAUAUCUAUCACUAAACCAAUGAAAUGCUUAGUGGUCAAAGACUCAAAGCCACUAUCCCCAAAGGAGAGGAUAAUGCUAAUCUUUUUGAAGUCAACAAGUUCUAAUUAACACAGUGGCUAUGAGCUAAGAUUAGGGGGAACAUUGUAGAUUACUUAAAGAUGAAAAACCAUAACAGAAUCUCUAUGGGGCACAGCAGUAGAUAUGAGCUUUAAGUAGCUUUAAAGGACUCUUAUUUGCACUUCUUAAAAGCCCUUUUUUCCCACAGCAAAAGCAAGCAACAUUAGUGGCCACUGCCUCUAAUGGACAACAGUGCAGUUGUGCCACAGAACAAGCUGAGCUAUUUGCUGCUGCUUUUCUCAGAAGCAGAUCUACUCACUCCUGACUCACCAAAGUCCCCCAAAACUACCAGAAGCAACCAUAGAAGAGAUCCCCACAUUGAUUCUAAUGGCUAUGACUUUAAAGAAGCUCUGUCCUUGUUAGUGCUUCAGUGGAAGCCAUGUACUCUCCUCCCAAAGCAAAGUGCCUGCUUUUUUAUCCAGCUGAGCAAGCAAAAGAUUCACUGGAACAGGAAACCCAAAAAAGAAAAAAAAAAAAAGAAAAGAAAAGAAGAGAUUUUAAGCUCAUUCUACUUCAGAAAAUACACCCAAUUCUCCAAAUUUUUUUAUCUGAACAAUACACACAGUAGUUGUUGUUCGAAUUGCUGUCUUAAAAAGGUUGAAAAUUUGAUCUUCGCUUAAAUUAAAGAUCACUAAAUUGCAGCAGCAAAGAAGAAGAAUUUUUUUUAAAGAUGCUCAGCAACAAAUGAAGGAUUUACCAUUCGAAAUCAAACCAGAACAAAUCAAAAGAUACAACUUUUGAACAAAGAUUUUUUAAAUCAAACUCUACACAAUCGAAACAACUCAAACAACAGCUUCCAAUCUGGGCUCAAAAGGGAACGCACAAACGAACUCCUUCGCCUCCCCAUCGACGCGACACUUGGGUAUCUCCACCCACUGAUCCCUCCCCAGAUCAUAGACCACACAGCUGCUAAAAUCCCCCGAGUUUAAGCAUGUAAAAAUCCAAUCUUUGAAGCCCACACAGUUUAUAUCCACUUUUUUACCGAAAAAUUCGUGGGACAUCGAGGGGGGCAUCGCCGCCACCUGGUGCCACGUCAUCGUCUCCCUCGCGAACCUCCACACGCGCAAGCUCGCGGUCUCGAGGAACUCGGAGAGCACAAUUGCGCAGAGCUCCCCCCGGAACAGGGCGAUGUCGAUGGAGUACUCGUAGUACGCGGGGAGGAGGCGCGGGUGCUCGAAAAAGGACCUUUUUGUGAGAUUGCACCCCACCACGGUCCCCGAGUGGCUGAGGAAGUACACGACGUCGUCCCCGUUCUCGGUGGCGAAAACGGAGGAGUACUGCUUGCAGGGGCUUCGCUGCAUAUUGGCCGCGACCACGUCCCCUGUUUUGGAGAGGAAGUAAACGGGCUCGUCCCCGGGGACCUGGGGCUCGGAGGAGCCCGUGGGUUUGUGGGGGGAUAAGGGGAUCUCCUCGCCCCAGGCGUCGGUUUGGGAGUCGAAAACCCUAGAGGCGAGGUGGGGGGAGGCGCCGUAGACGAGGACGAGGUGGUACGAGGAAGGGUCGUGGGGGGAGGAGGGCGAGGCCAUGGCGAUGGCGAGGAGGUCGGGGGGGUCGAAAGGUGGGAUUUUGCGGGAGGAUCCGGUGACGGGGUUGGAGACGGUGAGUUCUCCGGAGGAGGGGGAGCGGAGGCAAACGAAGCCGCGGGAGGAGGCGACGGGGAUGGAAGGUGGUGGUGGGGAGGAGGGUUCAUGGCGCGUGGGGGGGGGAGAGCGGGAGGAGGACGGAGGACCAAUAGCCAGGCAGGAGGAGUCGAGGAAGAGGGAGCGUGGGAGCGGGUGGAUUGAAGAGAGAAGAGGGCCGAGGGGACUGCGGAGCAGCGAGAGAAGAAGGAGGAGCAAGCGAAGAGCAAAGGAGCGCCAAACCGCUUGGAGACCGCGGGCCGGAGGGAAGAAGGCGGAGGGAGAGCGCGCCAAGCAACCACUCGACACGAAAGAAAAAAUGGAUCGCGCCAGAGCAUCUGUGCCAUCAUCAGAAGCUAGCUAGACUAGAAGACAUGGAUAUAAAGGUAGAUAAUCCUCUUCUAACCACGACGGGUGCGUUCCUGUUUUGAGUACCAAUCUCCCACUUUCUCUUUUGUCUUUUGUUUCUGUUUCGUUUCUUUGGAUGGAAAAGAGAGAGGAGAGAGGAGAGAGGAGAACCAGUUAAAAAUUCAAGGAAUUUGAGAAAUUAGUGAUUGGUGGUGGUGUGCAACUGUGCAAAUUUGUGUGUAUAUAUAUAUAUAUAUAUAAUAAUCAGGGGAGAUGAUCACUGGGGAGAGGGAAUUGGAUAUGGUGCGCGAAAACUAAAGCAGUUUUUUUUGGUUUUUUUUUUUUAAAAAAAAGGAAUUGUUUUGUGCAAAAGAACAGUUCUCAGAGAAGCACUUUGAUGUGAGAAGAGAUUGUGAAAGGAAGUGCUUUUUCAGAACAAUUAGCAGCAUCUAUAGUUUCUUGGGAAAUUUCUAAGAAACGAAGCCAAAAAAAAAAAGUCACCCAUCUUCUAGGCCAAAACCCACUAAUUCCGACCAAAACAGAAGAGUUUCAUGCUACGAAAAAAAAAAAAAAAAAAUCAACUUUUUUCUGCUAAAAUCAUACAGGGUGAGAAAUCAGAAUCAGAAACAAAUUGACCAAAAAAAGGACUCCUUUUUAACCGAGAAAAAAACCACUUUUAUUACAUAAAUUUCCCAUUUUUCCCACCCCACAUAACCCAUCAAGCCAAAAUCCACCCAAAAAGAAAGAAAAAGAACAAAACCCCAGAAACAAAACAUACAACAAAAGGCCCUUAAAAGCUCCCACCGUAUAUACGAGCAGAGAGGGGAGGAGGGGAGAGGAGAGAAAUGCACCUUAUUAUGUGUUGGAUCCUCUGCAGCUCACAAGUGGUGGCAACGAAGAGGAACAAAGUAAAGUGCGCGCGCGUUGGGAACUCUCCCACUCCCUUCUUUUGUAAUGGUGAGAAGAAGAAGAAGAAGAAGAAGAAGAAAAAGAAGAAGAGGUAGAGAGAGAGAAAGAGAGAGAGAGAGAGAGAGAGGAAACUUCGUGGGGGAGCUCUUUUUGUAUGCGUUGACAGAGAGGAGAGGAGAGGAGAGGAGAGGAGAGCAGUGGGGGCUUGUGUUGUGUGAGUGUGUGGGGGUGUGAGGGAAAAGAUAGUUUAUAUAUAGAGGGGAUAGAGAGAGAGAGGAGCCCAAAAUUUAAAGAGAGAGAGAGAUGUAUAUAGUAAGGUUAAUUGCAUGGAUAUUUUCAUAAACGUAUAGAAUAGUAAAAAUAUUUUAACAAAAUUUAACUUUUUAUAUUUAUUUUUUAAAAAAUUUUAAUAUUUUAAAAAUAUAUUUGUGCUGAUAGGAUCCGUUAGAAAAAUACAUUAAUCAUAGAUAAAUUACUUUAACUCUCAUCAAUAAAUGAGAUAAAUUGAUCGUUUUACUCUUCUUAUAUUAUUUGUAAUGUUAAAAAAGAAAAAGAGAUGUAUAUAGUAAGGUUAAUUGCAUGGAUAUUUUCAUAAACGUUUCGAAUAGUAAAAAUAUUUUAACAAAAUUUAAUUUUUUAUAUUUAUUUUUCUAAAAAUUUUAAUAUUUUAAAAUAUAUUUUUACUAGUAGGAUCCAUUAGAAAAAUACAAUUAAUCAUAGGAGAUAAAUUGAUCUUUUUACUUUUCUUAUAUUAUUUGUGAUGUUAAAAAAGAAAAAAAUGACCGUUCAAAAUUUGUUAAAGAAUAUUUUUGUAUAAUUCUAAUAAUUGGAAAUUUUGAAGAAACAUAUUUGUAAUGACAAAAAUAUUAUUUUACUUAUCUUUUGCUAACGGUAACAAAUUAUAGAGGCAAAUAUGAAUAUUAUUAGAUUUUUAUAAGAAUAAAUAUGAAAAAUUAAACUUUGUAGGAAUAUAUUUAUUAUUUAAUAUAUUUACAAUAAGAAGUAUGUAUAAAAUUAAUUCUCUAUAGUAAUAAGAUAAUAAUAAAAUAACAUAAAAAUUUAUCUAAACUAUAAACCAUUUUGAUUUAACUUUUUAUUUCUUAAUUUAUUUAACUUGGUGAGUUAAUUACACUCUCGCUUCAAAAUUAAAAUUAUUUAUUUAUUUUUAAAAAUUUAUAUUUGUGAGAAUUAUGUUAAAUAUAUUAAUUAAAUUUAUAAAAAUAAAUAAUAUAUAAUUUUUUAAAAAAAUAUAAUUGACUAAUUCAAAUCAAAUGAAGUACAAUAAUAUAUAUAGUAAAAUUAAAAUUUUUUAAAAAAGGGCCAAUUCAAAAUGAUUAAUGCUUCUGAUAAGUUUGCCACCUAUUUUUCUACUAGAAAUAACAGUAGAGAGAUGUGCAGUGGCUUAGAGAGAGAGAGAGAGAGAGAGAGGGCUAGGGCUUAGAGAGAGAGAGGGCCAUGUGACUAGCUGCUGACACUGAUAUUUUUUUAAUAAAAUUCAAUAGUUAGAUCAUAUUUUUCUUCAACUUUUUAAAUUGUUAUGGUUUUAUAUUUCAAACUUUUAUGAUUAUAAUAAUUAAGUUUUUUAGUUUAAAUUUAGUCAAUUAUAUAAUAAUGUGUCGCUGAUAUAAUAGUAAUAUACCUGAUUGAUGAUAAUAUUACACUAAUUAAGAUAUUACACUAGUUUUGUAUUAAUGACAUAUUAGUAAUCGAUUAGCAAAAUUAGAUUGUAAAACUUAUUUAAAAUAACUUAAAAAGUUUGAGGAUUAAAAUAUCCGUCACUAACUCAUAGUUUGAGAACCAGAAGUUAAAUUUAGUCUAAUUUAAAUUUAAUAGUAAGAGACAGAGGAGAGUGUUAAGUUUCAUUGAAUAAAGUUGAUAAACAACUAUUAAUAGCUUUUUAAAUUAAAUCUUUCUAUAAAAUUGUAAGUUUAACUUUAUAUUUGAAGUGAGAAUCUAGAUCAAACAAAGUAUGUAAUUUAUUCCAAUAAAUAUUUUUUAAAAAUCUGUUAGUAUUUAAAAUAUCCGUAUAACACUAACGGCUUUGGAUUCAAACUUGUAAACAUUUUUUUCAAUUAAAAAAAAAAUGUAUAUGUGAGCUUGGUACAUUUUUAACUUAGUUUGGUACCUUAUAUUAAAAAUAACAACAUUUCACACCAUCUAUGAAAAACCUUUUUUUUAUUUUUUUUAAAAAAAGUUCUCGUAAGUGUUCACUUUGUAGGCCACUCGCACGCGGGGGCAUUACACGUGCGAGGUGCCCAAAGCUAAAGCAUAAGCUUCCCCCCACUUUUUUUUCUUUUCUUUUUUUUUAUUUUUGGGGAAAUGAGAACCCAAAUGUUUGUAGGGGAUAUGUUAAUUGUAGUGUAGCUUUUAAAAUGGAGGGAGAGGAACAAAGGAAUAAUCCCAAGCACACUAGCAAGUAAACAACUAAAUACGAAGGUUUGACCUUGAUGAAGGGAAUCACAACACGAAUUACGAGGACAAUAAUUUUUUUUUAUUUUUUAUUUUUUAAAGUUAUGAGCAUGCACAUGAAUGGGACCAAACCAAACCAAACCAAACCAAACCAAAUAUUUUUAAAAUUAAUAAUUUAAUGCAUCCUCCCCUCUAACUUUUGCUUUUAGACCCGAACCUGAACAUGGUUUUGUAGAUCUAGGAUAGAAUGUUAUGAAAUGCUCCCCCAAUUAAUCCUGGUGUUGUGGUGGGCAUUCACUUGGUAAGUAUCCAUAUGUUUUGUUACUUAAAAAAUAUAUAUAUAGAGAGAGAGUACGUCUCCCGUAUUUUAAAAGUACGGAGGUCUUCGUGCUCGUAAGUUAUUUUUUUUAUCGAAUAUUUGAUUCGACGAUCGGUUCCGUUAAGCAUAAUCUCGAUCGACUCCGUUAAACAUAAUCUAUGUUAUUGAAACUAUCUAAAAACUAAAUUUUAUAAUUUUUCGAUAUCAUUUACCAAGCGAUCAUAGGAUCUCAAAAAUAAUUAUUUUAAUGACCGAUGUAGCAUGUUUUUAAAUUCAAUUGGGUAGAAGUAUCCAAAUUACAUGAAAAUUUAAUAGAAAAUUUUACUAAACAUCAAGAGUAAGAAUAAUAGUUUCAAUUUGAAAUUUGAGUCUUUUAUCACUAUUUUUUAUGAGCUUUUUAUUUUCAACCGUUCAUUUUGAGGCUACUCGUUUACUAGGCAAAUAAUGUCAAAAAAUUAUGAAAUUUGAUUUCUAAAUAGUUACAAUAGCAUACAUCAUAUCUAACAGAACCAAUCGCCGAAUCGGAUGUCCUAUCAACAAAAACAACUUAUAAAUACGGAGGCCUCCGUACUUUCAAAAAUAUAGGAGCCUAG